rnacentral:rRNA from 1 species
GAUGAACGCUGGCGGCGUGCCUAAUACAUGCAAGUCGAACGCUUCCUACCGGUGCUUGCACCGGGAAAGAAGAGUGGCGGACGGGUGAGUAACACGUGGGUAACCUACCUACAAGCGGGGGAUAACAUUCGGAAACGGAUGCUAAUACCGCAUAGAUCUUUUUGUCUCCUGGCAGAAGGAAGAAAGACGGUUUCGGCUGUCACUUGUAGAUGGACCCGCGGCGCAUUAGUUAGUUGGUGAGGUAAUGGCUCACCAAGACGAUGAUGCGUAGCCGACCUGAGAGGGUGAUCGGCCACACUGGGACUGAGACACGGCCCAGACUCCUACGGGAGGCAGCAGUAGGGAAUCUUCCGCAAUGGACGAAAGUCUGACGGAGCAACGCCGCGUGAGUGAAGAAGGUUUUCGGAUCGUAAAACUCUGUUGUUAGAGAAGAACAAGGAUGAGAGUAACUGCUCGUCCCUUGACGGUAUCUAACCAGAAAGCCAUGGCUAACUACGUGCCAGCCGCCGCAGUAA